rnacentral:rRNA from 1 species
GCAAGUCGAACGGUAACAUAGAGAAGCUUGCUUUUCUGAUGACGAGUGGCGCACGGGUGCGUAACGCGUAUACAAUCUACCUUUUACAGAGGGAUAGCCCAGAGAAAUUUGGAUUAAUACCUCAUAGUAUUUAGUUAUGGCAUCAUAGCUAAAUUAAAGAUUUAUCGGUAAAAGAUGAGUAUGCGUUCUAUUAGUUAGUUGGAGUGGUAACGGCACCCCAAGACAGCGAUAGAUAGGGGCCCUGAGAGGGGGAUC